rnacentral:rRNA from 1 species
UACGGGGGGGGGCAAGCGUUGUUCGGAAUUACUGGGCGUAAAGGGUUCGUAGGUGGCCAACUAAGCCAGACGUGAAAAUCCCCUCAGCUUAACUGGGGAACUGCGUCUGGGACUGGAUGGCUUGAGUGCAGGAGAGGAACGCGGAAUUCCAGGUGUAGCGGUGAAAUGCGUAGAUAUCUGGAGGAACACCGGUGGCGAAGGCGGCGUUCUGGACUGCAACUGACACUGAGGAACGAAAGCCAGGGGAGCAAACGGG